rnacentral:rRNA from 1 species
GACGAACGCUGGCGGCGUGCUUAACACAUGCAAGUCGAACGGAAAGGCCCUGCUUUUGUGGGGUGCUCGAGUGGCGAACGGGUGAGUAACAGGUGAGUAACCUGCCCUAGACUUUGGGAUAACUUAAGGAAACUGGGGCUAAUACCGGAUAGGAGCUCAUGCUGCAUGGAGGGGGGUGGAAAGUUUCUGCGGGUGGGGAUGGACUCGCGGCUGAUCAGCUUGUUUGUGGGGUAGUGGCUUACCAAGGCUUUGACGGGUAGCCGGCCCUAGAGGGUGAACGGCCACCUUGCUCCUGCGAUACGGCCCAGUCUCCUACGGGAGGCAGCGGGCGGGAAUAUUGCCCAAUGGUCGGAAGCCUGAUGCAGCAACGCCGCGUUCGUGAUGACGUCCUUCGGGUUGUAAACCGCUUUCGCCUGUUACGAAGCGUUAGUGACGGUAAUGGGUAAAUAAGCACCGGCUAACUACGUG